rnacentral:lncRNA from 1 species
AGGGUUAGGCUUACCUACUGGUGGGAUAUAGUAGGCGCCAUCACGACCUGAAAAAUUGGAUUGUGACAAUUAUAAUUUGAGGGACAUGUCGAACGCCGAGGUGAAUUCUAUUAUCAAGUGCCGUCUUGCAUGUCGAAUGGAUGCAUGGACUAUAUGUCCCCCAUGGAUCCCGGAUUGAGAGACAACCUGUGUGUAUCAUUAGGUAAGACAUGCAUCACUACACGUUUCAUUACAUUUCAUUGCACUACAUAUAUAUAUAUAUAUAUAUCAUUUGUGAACUUGUGAGUGCCUUUCUGUGGAACUAGUGAUUGAUGACUUGAUUUGAUUUACUAUUGAUUUGUAAUUGUUGGAGAGUUGUUAUUGAGCUAUGAGAUAUUUAAAUUGUGCACUGUUAGGUUGGACUGAUUUUUACAUGUUGUAGUUGUGGAAGUUCGGUUGGCGUGACAUAAGUAAAUGUAUUCUAUACUCUUAGCUUUGUGUUUAAGAGUUUGCUUAUUGAGUACCGUGUGGUUUGGUAAUCACCCCUUGCUUCUACAUUUUUGUAGCUUACUAGCCCAUUUUUGGAGAUUUGUGAGGCAGUUGUUUAUCAUCUCAGCGGACUUUCUUACUCCUAUUUAUGAUCUUGUUCUAUUUUAGAGACAAACAUCAUUUGAGAGUUGUGUUUUCUUUCAACUCUAGUGUAAUACAUUAGAGGAUUGUGCACGUGACAACUAGGUUUUGGGGAUUUAGUUAAGUUGACUUGUAAUUCGCAUUAUAAAUUGUUAUUCAAUUUUUUUUGUCAUAGUU